rnacentral:rRNA from 1 species
GAUGAACGCUGGCGGCGUGCCUAAUACAUGCAAGUAGAACGCUGAAGGAAGGAGCUUGCUCUUUCCGGAUGAGUUGCGAACGGGUGAGUAACGCGUAGGUAACCUGCCUGGUAGCGGGGGAUAACUAUUGGAAACGAUAGCUAAUACCGCAUAACAGUAGAUGUUGCAUGAUAUCUACUUAAAAGGUGCAAUUGCACCACUACCAGAUGGACCUGCGUUGUAUUAGCUAGUUGGUGAGGUAACGGCUCACCAAGGCGACGAUACAUAGCCAACCUGAGAGGGUGAUCGGCCACACUGGGACUGAGACACGGCCCAGACUCCUACGGGAGGCAGCAGUAGGGAAUCUUCGGCAAUGGACGGAAGUCUGACCGAGCAACGCCGCGUGAGUGAAGAAGGUUUUCGGAUCGUAAAGCUCUGUUGUAAGAGAAGAACGAGUGUGAGAGUGGAAAGUUCACACUGUGACGGUAUCUUACCAGAAAGGGACGGCUAACUACGUG